rnacentral:rRNA from 1 species
AUUGAACGCUGGCGGCAUGCCUUACACAUGCAAGUCGAACGGCAGCACGGGAGCAAUCCUGGUGGCGAGUGGCGAACGGGUGAGUAAAGUAUCGGAACGUGCCCAGUCGUGGGGGAUAACGUAGCGAAAGUUACGCUAAUCCCGCAUACGAUCUACGGAUGAAAGCGGGGGAUCGCAAGACCUCGCGCGAUUGGAGCGGCGUAUAUCCGAUUAGGUAGUUGGUGGGGUAAAGGCUCACCAAGCCGACGAUCUGUAGCUGGUCUGAGAGGACGACCAGCCACACUGGGACUGAGACACGGCCCAGACUCCUACGGGAGGCAGCAGUGGGGAAUUUUGGACAAUGGGCGCAAGCCUGAUCCAGCCAUGCCGCGUGCAGGAUGAAGGCCUUCGGGUUGUAAACUGCUUUUGUACGGAACGAAAAGGUUUGGCCUAAUAAGCUGGACCCAUGACGGUACCGUAAGAAUAAGCACCGGCUAACUACGUGCCAGCCGCCGCCGUAA